AGGCGCUCUCUCUGCCUCCAGAGGCGCCGGCACUGCGGGGCCCCAGUCAUGCCCGCUGCCUCAGUCUUCCAACCCGAAAAGUGGGUGGGCGAAGGAAAGCUCGGCCGAGCUGCGUCUCCAACUCCCUGCUCUCCCCUAGGGGAGCCCACCAGCUCCAAUCGCGACCUCUUCUGUCCCCAAACCACAGACCCUAGCCCGCCUCGGGGACCCGGAUAUGGAAGGGGCGGUGGAGAGCCCUGGCCUUGAUUCUCCCUGGGUCGGGAGGGCGUUCCGGCGGCCGUGGGGCUGCAGCCCUUCCUCCCCGCCUGGAAGGUGAGGGUGUGGGAGGAGCGGGAGGGGGCGAGGCCGACACAAUCCCCGUGCGACCAGCGGCGGAGCCCAGAGCCAGGUUAGGAGCGCGCUCAGGCGAGCUCGGCGGAAGGCCGAGAAGGUUCAUCGGAGGCGGCGGCGAGCCGAGACCAGGAGACAGACGGGGCGGGGUGACGAGGCGGGCCCCACCCCAGGAGCGCGGGGCCACACGGACACCGGCGGGCGGUCUUCCCCGGGAUGCGCUGGGAUUGCAGGCCUCCAGCGGCCCCGCCCGCCGCCUCCGCCCUCCCGCUCCUGAGCUGCCAAUCCAGCGGGUUCUGCCGGUCCUCGGCCGUGCGUCUGGGGUCUGGAUUCCCGGCUCCACUCGCCGUGAGCGCGCGUGUCAGCCGACUCGCCCCGGACCGCAUGGUGCAGCUCCCGCAGGGCCGCAGCCGCGGGUCGUCGCUGAUUGCCAGCUCCGCGCCCACUGCACCGCUGCGCGGCCGCCUAGGGCUCAUUGCGCGGAAGUCGGCCUGGUCCCUCCCCUGGGCUGGAUGGGCCCGCUCCUCCCGAGCGGUCGUGCUCUGAGUUGAAUGCGAUAGAGGCUUCUGGGCGCGUCGCGGGCUAGGUCCAGGAGCUGUGAUCCUCUCCGAGGUCUCAGUGUGCCCGCAGCGCCCCCUGCAGUGCGUCUCCUGCAAGGGGCCCGGAACACAUUCCUGUCCCCGCCAGGCCUGGAGGCCCGAGCGCCUGCUUUUCAUCCACUCUGCCCACCCGCCUCUGCGGUCGGCUGCCUUGGGCGCUGGCCUUAGCAGUUCUGAGUUUGAAUUCAAUCGCCAAUACACAGAAAGCCACACAAAUGUGAAGAUUUGUGAAUUAUUAUCAAAUGAACACCUUUGUAACCACUACCCAAGCCAAGAAACAGUACUUUCCCCCAGAAUACCUUACCCGUGCUCCUUCCCGAUUUCACUCGACUCCCUCCUUCCCAAAGUAGCCACUCUCCUGCCUUUCAUAGUAAUUACUUACCCGAGUUUUUAAAAAAUUGUUGUCACCCAAGUUCGCCUCUCUAGAGGCUAUAAAUUAGACUUGCUCAUUUUGUUAAUAUAUUUUAAGUCUCUUUAAUUUGUAGUUUCUUUCUCCAUCACUUUCUUUUCCUUGCAAUGUAUCCUUGGAAGAAUCUGAAGAGAUUUCUAGUCUGGAUUUCACUGAUUGCAUUCUCCUGGUGCAGUUCAACACAUCUCCCUGUUUUCUGCAUUUCCUGCAAAUUGACAGCUGGAUCCAAAGGCUUGAUCAGACUCAGGUUCAAGAUUUUUGGUGAGACUCCAGGUGGUGGAGUGCUGUUUUGUCAGGAGGCACAUAAUGUCUGGUUGUCUCUAUUUUUUGAGAUCUGAGGAGAGACGAUGUCCAAUGCUUACAUUCAUUAAUUCACUGGGGGAUGAAAAUGGUGAUAUACUAAUUAUAUAAUUUAUUUUUCAUUUAUCAUCUGGGUUGAUUUUAUAAAGAGACUCUUCUCCUCAUCUGCUAUUUGGUUACCCAGUGGAACCGUUCACAGAGGAAAGGCGGUUGCUGUCCAUUGUGGGGUGCAGUCCGGAAGGGAGCCCUCGCAGAUCAGUGAGAGAAUUCACAGACCUUCAGAUCUUACCGCAGAUCUGGUAAGAUCUGGAGUGAGACAAACUGCUGGUUCUCACCCGGCCCCUGCACUGUGGAUGAACAGGGCCCUCAGGUGCCCAGGCCCUGGUAAGCAUCAUUCUACUCCAUGCCUCCGUAAGAUCCACUUUUUUAGCUCCCACAUUUGAGUGAGAACAUGUGAUAUUUGUAUUUUUGUACCUGUUUAUUUCACUCAACAUAAUGAACUCCAGCUCCAUCCAUGUUGCUACAAAUGAAAGGAUAUUAUUCUGUUUUAUGGCCAAAUAAUGUUUCUUUGUGUAUAUAUACCACAUUUUCCUUAUCCAUUCAUUCAUUGGUGGAUUCUUAGGUUGAUUUCACUUCUUGACUAAUAUGAACAGUGCUGUAAUAAACAUGGGAGUGCAGAUAGUUCUUAGGUUUACUGAUUUCCUGUCUUUUGGAUAUAUCCAGCAGUGGGAUUGCUAGAUCAUAUGGUAGUUCUACUUUUAGUUUUUUGAAGCGCCUCCAUACUGUUGUUCAUAGUGGCUGUCCUAGUUUAUAUUCCCACUAACAGUGUAUGAGUGUUCCCCUUUCUCCGAAUCCUUGCCAACGUCUGUUAUUUUUUGUCUUUUUGAUAAUAGCCGUUCUAACUUGGGUGAGAUGGUAUCUCAUCAUGGUUUGAUUUGCAUUUCCUUGAUGAUUAGUGAUAUUGAACAUUUUUUCAUAUACCUGCUGACCGUUUGUAUGCCUUCUUUUGGGAAAUGUCUAUUCAGGUCUUUUGUUCAUUUUAAAAAUGAAGUUAUUUGUUUAAAAAGGAUACUUUGAAUCCAGGCACAGUGGCUCACACCUGUAAUCUCAGCACUUUGGGAGGCUGAAGCGGGCGGAUCACUUGAGGUCAGGAGUUCAAGACCAGCCUGGCCAACAUGGGGGAAAUCCCAUCUCUACUAAAAAUACAAAAAUUAGCCGGGUGUAGUGGUGGGCGCCUGUAAUCCCAGCUACCUGGGAGGCUGAGGCAGGAGAAUCUCUUGAACUUGGGAGGUGGAGGUUGCAGUGAGUUGAGAUCACACCACUGCACUCCAGCUUGGGUGGCAGAAAGAAACUCCAUCUCAAAUAAAUAAAAUAUAGGCUGGGUGUGGUGGCUCAUGCUGUAAUCCCAGCACUUUGGGAGGCCGAGGUGGGCAGAUUGCUUGAGCCCAGGAAUUUGAGGCCAGCCUGAGCAACGUGGCAAAAUCCCAUCUCUACAAAAAUAAUAAUAAAAAAAAUUAGCUGGGCAUGGUGGUAUGCACCUGUAGUCAGUGCCAGCUACUCCAGAGGCUGAGGUGGGAGGCUCACUUGAGCCUGCAAGGUAGAGGCUGACAGAGAGAGACUUUCUCUCAACAACAAUAACAACAAAAUAUAUAUGUAGGCUGGGAGCUGUGGUGCAUGCCUGUAAUCCAAGCAUUUUGGGAGGCCGAGGCAGGAGGAUCACUUGAGUUCAGGAGUUUGAGACCAGCCUGGGCAACAUAGUGAGACUUCAUCUACUAAAAAUACAAAAAAACUAGCUGAGUGUGGUGGGGUGUGCUUAUAGUCCCAGCUACUUGGGAGGCUUAGGUGGGAGAAUCACUUGAGCCUGGGAGUGGAGGCUGAAGUGAGCUAUGAUCUUACCCCUGCACUCCAGCCUGGAUGAC
ensembl:lncRNA novel transcript